rnacentral:rRNA from 1 species
GAUGAACGCUGACAGAAUGCUUAACACAUGCAAGUCCACUUGAAUUUGGGUUUUUAACUUAGGUUUGGGUGGCGGACGGGUGAGUAACGCGUAAAGAACUUGCCUCACAGCUAGGGACAACAUUUGGAAACGAAUGCUAAUACCUAAUAUUAUGAUAAUAGGGCAUCCUAUAAUUAUGAAAGCUAUAAGCGCUGUGAGAGAGCUUUGCGUCCCAUUAGCUAGUUGGAGAGGUAACGGCUCACCAAGGCGAUGAUGGGUAGCCGGCCUGAGAGGGUGAUCGGCCACAAGGGGACUGAGACACGGCCCUUACUCCUACGGGAGGCAACAGUGGGGAAUAUUGGACAAUGGACCGAGAGUCUGAUCCAGCAAUUCUGUGUGCACGAUGAAGUUUUUCGGAAUGUAAAGUGCUUUCAGUUGGGAAGAAACAAAUGACGGUACCAACAGAAGAAGUGACGACUAAAUACGUG